rnacentral:rRNA from 1 species
GACUCCUACGGGAGGCAGCAGUGGGGAAUUUUGGACAAUGGGCGCAAGCCUGAUCCAGCCAUUCCGCGUGAGUGAAGAAGGCCUUCGGGUUGUAAAGCUCUUUCGCAAGGGAAGAAACGAUACCGACGAAUAAUCGGUGUUAAUGACGGUACCUUGAUAAGAAGCACCGGCUAACUACGUGCCAGCAGCCGCGGUAAUA